rnacentral:rRNA from 1 species
UACAGAGGGUGCGAGCGUUAAUCGGAAUUACUGGGCGUAAAGCGCACGUAGGUGGCGACGUAAGUCGCGUGUGAAAGCCCCCGGCUCAACUGGGGAGGGUCACGCGAUACUGAUCGACUCGAAGGCAGGAGAGGGUAGUGGAAUUCCCGGUGUAGUGGUGAAAUGCGUAGAUAUCGGGAGGAACACCAGUGGCGAAGGCGACUACCUGGCCUGUUCUUGACGCUGAGGCGCGAAAGCUAGGGGAGCAAACGGG